GCUCAGUUGGUUAAGCGUUCAACUCUUGAUCUCAACUCAGGUCUUGAUUUCAGGGUCGUGAGUUCGAGCCCCACACUGGGCU
rnacentral:tRNA from 1 species